rnacentral:tRNA from 1 species
CAAAAAAUAGUUUAUUAGAGAACGUUAAUUUUGGAGAUUAAAGGUAUAAAUUUCAUUAUUUUUUUGA